CGCCGCGUGCGCGCGACAAACCCUAGAGGCCUAGCCUCCCCAAGCCCCACAGGCCGCACUCCUCCUCCUUCCCCAUCCCACCCUUGUUAGCCGCCGCCACCAUUCUGCCUCCCUCCUCUCUGUCCUACAACCACACCACCGGAGGAAGCCGCCGUUCGUGGCGCCAUAUCGCUGCCGGGGUGCCGCGUAAGAGGCCAGGGGCCGCCGCCACCGCAAGCCGGCAGGAAGCCAACGGCGAGCACGCCGUCAAGAUGCCGCCAGGAGGACCUACCAUCCGGUCCAUGUCGUCAAGCGAGGGCCGCUUGUUGCUUCGUCGUGGGAGGAGGCGCACCAUCGAGGAGCAGCAGAGGAGGAGACGAGGACCAUCGAGGAGUAGCAGGGGAGGAGACGAGGACCAUCGAGGAGCAGUAGGGGACCGCCGAACUCCCUCUUCCCUUCCGGCUGCACCUUCUCCUUGAGCUCCUUCCAGUCCCUCGCUUCUCCACUCCUACUAUUCACUCUCCCUCCCAUGCUCGUCAUGUGUGCUUUCUUUUGAUUUGGUUGUGCCUGCAGGUCCAUGGACAUUGUCAGAAUGGUCAAUUUAUUCUGGCGUAUUAUUUUCAGAUAUCAUGUUUGUCCAAGCCUCCAAGAUUCAAUUAGAUAGCAUCGUCUUCUCCCCGAGCAGCAAAAUGGAAGCUAGGAAUGUCAACUCUGUUGUGUGUCAGGCUCAGCGAUGCCAGCCUCUGCCCCCUCCCCAAACGAUAUGGUCUGCUUCAGUUCACGCAGUGUCUAGGUGAAGAAUUUGUGGCCAGCAACGAAAAGAUGUCUCUUGAAAAUCUAGACAGUAGAGGAAAAAAGAUACGCCAACACUGUUCUACGAUCUGUUGCAUCUCUGUUCUCCUUGUUAAGGUUAGGUGCUCUAUUUCCUAGGUACACGUGUAUUAUCGUUUAUGUGGGUGCUAUCAUGGUGCUUGCUCUGCUGAUCAUUGUAAUGUUCUGGAUCUGGGGUGUGGCUGCAGGAGAGGGGAGGCGGCCAAUGACAGGGAGAAGGAGCAGGCCGUCGAGGAGUGCAAGCAAAAGAGUAAGAUGUGUAUUUUUUAUUGCCUCAAAUGAUUCAGAUUAAGAGUGACAAUAUGUAUGUGUUUGGUUGGGUGGAAAAGUCCCGCUUCCGAUUACAGCACUUUCGUAAGACAGUAGAAGUCGUUUGGUUCAGCCCUUCUGUUUUCUGUUACGAUGCUAUUCAAUAUAGCGCUUCACUUCUGUGGAAACAUCCGAUCAUGGCUGGAUACAAAAUCCUCUCCGCUACGUAUUCACUCGUGUCCGAACCAAACAAAACACGUAUUCUGGAAGAUAUAUCGGAAGCAGCGCUUCCCGAUAAAUAGCACGGAGAACAUAUCAGUGCUAUAUGUGUGUCUAAGGGCUCCAAGAGAUGCAGUCAUAGACAGUGACUGGUCCCUGAAGUUUGGGACGUUAAGGAUAAAAGCAAGCAGUUUUCAGAAACUUUUAGUUGUGGCUCAUGGGUUGGAGCAACUGGGAAAUCAUUGACAAAUGUGGUCUCAGUUGGAGUUGGUGGUAGCUUCCUUGGACCUCUGUUUGUGCAUGCAGCUCUCCAGAUUGACCCGAAACAGCAGAGUCCGCCAAAGGCUGGCAACUAAGAUUGUAAGCGUGUACUUGGGGUAUGUUUCUGUAUUUCUUUUGUUGACACCUGUUACAUGUUCUUCUCGCACUUCCUAUGGAUGAUCAAAAAUAUUAAAUGUGAUCGAGCAGAGGCUUCCUUUUUAUCUUUCUGCACCAUUCAUGCAACCCUAACCAGGAAUUCUUUCAUUAUUGGAGUCUUUCGUUGUAUAUAUAACUAUAUAUUGAUGCAAGGUGGGAGAAGAAGGAGGUGGCUGGCCUUUAUUGUGUUUUGGUGUGGUUCUCUCCUAUUUAAUGGUAGAUAUGAUGUAUAGGUUCAAGCAUGUGAUGUUUCUUUCAGUGCAUAUUUGUGCUUUACGAUGUUUGAUGCACAUAUAGUUGAACCUCUUACUCCAUGUAAUACUUUGCCAAAGAAGAAUUUAUUAAUGUUGGUGUUUUUUCUCUUUUCAGAUUUUAGCCUGGGUGCAUAAACAUACAUGCCGCACAUUAUAUUCAAAUUUCAGUGCAAGAUUAAACUGGGGAUAAAUCAUUAUGGAAGGGAAAGGAAUGAAUAACAAACUAUAUAGAUUUAUUAUCAUAUCAUUUAUUUUUGAUUGCAUGAUCUUAAUUGCUCAUCUCUGAAAAUAUUCUAGGCUCUUGCUCUUGGAAGAUUAGACUGAUGUGGUUUUGCUUUAUGAAUAAAUGGCGUGCAAACUUACUGGUUUGAUUUAGGUGUGUAGGCAGAGGAAACAAAAGAAUCAUAAUCCCAGGUUUAGGCAUGCACAUGGUCACUGAUCACAAAGUAGGUAGGAACAUGUGCAGUAUUGUGAUUUUCAGCAAGAGAAAGAGAAACAUAGUUAAUUGUACGUAUUUUAAGCUACACUAUGUGAUGUUGCUCUAUUAUAAAGGCCUUGCUUAAAUGCUUGUUUGCAAUAUGUAUUGCAUUUCCAGGGAUUAUCCUUUUGCUUAUUGAGUAUUUCCUAUGUUAUAUUUCGUCCUCAGCUUGGUCACUGUAUGUGAUUAUUUACUCAUUUUGAGCCAUUUUGCAACCAAGCUUGACUUCUUUUAUUUUGCGAUCUGAGUUAUGCACACCAAAAUUAGCCCACGUAAGUUUGAACCAUAUUGAACAUGUUAGAUCACUCUCCUGUAUGUGAUGAUUUACUCUAUGGAGCCAUGUUGUGACCUAGCUUGAGUUCUUUUAUUUGCGAUCUGAGCUGCAAAAUAAAAAUAAAAAUAAAAAUAGUCCACGUAAUUCGAACCAUAUCUGAACAUUUUAGUAUUUGAAUACUGAAAUUACCAAACAUGAUCUUCACUUCGCCAUUUGUGACCCCACAGUGCUUUAACUAAGCUAGCUAUAGUAAUAUUAUGUUUUACAUGGCUAUGCAAGUUAAAGGUUCUAAUAUAGUGUACGUUUAUCAAUAUUUUGUGUUAUAUUGAGUAAUAUACUUCACAUAUAAGUUUUAAGCUAAUAGCUCCUAAUAAUUGUUUCUCCUCUUUGCAGUUGCCAUUUUAGUCAUAUUUUUUCUGAGAUAAAGAAUAAUAUUGAGAUGCAUUUCCUUUCUGAUGAUGAGAUUGGGUAUGCCUAUGUUUUGUAUUUUUCAGUAUUAUUUUAUUUCCGGCUCCGCUUAGCUGAGAGAGCUAAGAGAUAAUAUGGUAAACAAUUUCUAUCAAGUGGGUGAGCUCCAUUUUUCAAGGUAAGUCAGGUGACAGCCAAAAAAAUACCAAGGAGAUGAGUCUCUUAUCAGUUGUUUUGAUCUUAUCCAGGUUCUAUUUUCUUUCAGGCCAUGAGUUACGAUGUCCUGGUUAGAGCUACUACAUUCAAAGAGUAAAUCUGUUUCAUUGUAUCUGUACAUUGUAUGAAAAAGGUGCAUCUAUUAUGCCCCGUAGAAAUUUCAGCUGAGCAAUUGUGUAGACUUACGAAGCUAUCAUGACGGAUGUUAGUGAUUUCUGUAUUGGGGCCAUGUUACAUCUCUAGGGUUGAAUUAAUGGCUAGAAAUUCAGAGUUACAUAGCUGAAAACAGGGUUGCUCGAAGCAAACAAGCUGCUUAUUCAGUAUUUUUGACACUCAUGGAAAAGGUAUAUGCUCAUCCUAAAUUCCUAAUUAUUAUUAUAUCACAUAACUGAAAGUGCAUUAGACCAAUGGUGUUAUCAGAAAUAAAUAAUUUUUGCCCCAUAGCUGAACUGUGUCCUCAGUGUGUAUAUAUGUUAGAGAUGUGUAAGAUUCAGAUAUUUUUAUUCAUUUGUUAACUUUACCAAUGUAUGGCUGACAUGCUUCAUUAUGUUAUAUCACAUCUGAAGGUGCAUUAUACCUGUGGUUUAUUAGAAUGCAUAAUUUCGGUCAAAUAAUUGAGUUGUUCUUUUCUUCGGUGUAUAUACAAGUUACAGAUGUGCAUGAUUAUGUUUAUUCUCUACAUUUGGUAAAUUCACCUAUGUAUGGCUGACAUACUUCUUUAGGUUAUGUUUCUAAAGCUCCAUGCUUAAUCGUCCAGAAUGUUUCCAAGUGACUGCUUUACACAUGGGAGACUGGAUGAAUGGAGGAGUUCAGAGAAGCUGGUGUUAUGUUACAUAUGGUCUUCAAGCUAAUGUUAUGUUUCUUGCAUGGUUUGUGUAUUUGUUGCAAAAACAUAGUACAAGAAAAAGAUCUAUGCUCAUGAAGAUGGCAGAAGGGAACUACAUGUGGAACAAGAACCACUAGCACUGACCAGUUGGGCAUCUGGAUAGUGGUAGUGAACAAAAAUUGCUUGCCCUAUAGAGUCAAUGUAAUCUACUACUAUCCCACUUGCUGAUUUUUAUAUUAUGAAACCAUAGUAUGUAUUUACACUCCUGCUGUGAGAUUGUACUAUGUAAAUUAUGGGAGGACAAUGUAGGCCUUUAUAUGCAAAUAACUCCUUGUUGAAA